rnacentral:rRNA from 2 species
GUUAAGCGACUAAGCGUACACGGUGGAUGCCCUGGCAGUCAGAGGCGAUGAAGGACGUGCUAAUCUGCGAUAAGCGUCGGUAAGGUGAUAUGAACCGUUAUAACCGGCGAUUUCCGAAUGGGGAAACCCAGUGUGUUUCGACACACUAUCAUUAACUGAAUCCAUAGGUUAAUGAGGCGAACCGGGGGAACUGAAACAUCUAAGUACCCCGAGGAAAAGAAAUCAACCGAGAUUCCCCCAGUAGCGGCGAGCGAACGGGGAGCAGCCCAGAGCCUGAAUCAGUGUGUGUGUUAGUGGAAGCGUCUGGAAAGGCGCGCGAUACAGGGUGACAGCCCCGUACACAAAAAUGCACAUGCUGUGAGCUCGAUGAGUAGGGCGGGACACGUGGUAUCCUGUCUGAAUAUGGGGGGACCAUCCUCCAAGGCUAAAUACUCCUGACUGACCGAUAGUGAACCAGUACCGUGAGGGAAAGGCGAAAAGAACCCCGGCGAGGGGAGUGAAAAAGAACCUGAAACCGU